GUCCACAUACAAUGUUUCCACUACAAUUAUAUCAUCUGUAAUAGAAGAAAAACAAAAAACCACUUGAGUUCCUGUCUAUCUUCUUCUUGUUCUGCUGAAAGAACCAUUUCUGUGCACAUCUUUGAAUAGCAAAUAACACUUGCUGGAAGAUUUCAAAAAGAGGGGACAAUCCUUUUCCUUGCCGUGCUCCCGGUGUUAAAGAAGGCCUACAUUUCUCUUCUCCAAGGCAGUUUAUGAGUCAUCCCAUCCAGAGGAACCAGAUUGCUAAACUACAAAGAUAAGACCGGCCAAACCUUAAGACGUAAGCUCCAAAUUGAUGUGUCUGCUCUGCGCCUGCCAAGUGGAUUAUUGAAUAUAUGAGAGUGAAGCUAAGCCAGAGCUACUGAUCAGUGAAAUUGGGUGCAACUGAGCGGAAGAGCUGCACUGCUGAGAACUCUGGCAAAAGGCAACAUCCCUCCGAGUGUGCGGCUCUGCUGCGAACACACUACAUUACUCGGAUGCCUGGAUGCAGAAGGCUCAGGGGAAAGGUUAUUUUAGGAGCCUCAUGGAACUUCUGUAUGAUGCUGGGUCUAUUGCUCUCCAGUGAAAUAAGCCUAGAGCUUGGAAGAAGUGUGGCCUAACUAUGGAGCUCGACUUUGUUUGUCAAGACGUUCUAUUAAACCCCACUUUCUAGAAAAUAAAACCUUGAAGUAUUUUUUAUUUGCCUUUUGAGAACUAUCUAAUUUCACAGUAUUUAUAUUUAUAUUAUUUAAAACAACAUCAAGCAGACUCCAGAGGCAAAGCAAAGGUCACAAAUGUGUGCAUAGCCUCGAA
rnacentral:lncRNA from 1 species